rnacentral:rRNA from 1 species
AUUGAACGCUGGCGGCAGGCCUAAUACAUGCAAGUCGAGCGGAGCUGCGGACGGGUGAGUAAUGCCUAGGAAUCUGCCUGGUAGUGGCGAAUAACGUCCGGAAACGGGCGCUAAUACCGCAUACUAUCAGAUGACCCUAGGUCGGAUUAGCUAGUUGGCGGGGUAAAGGCCUACCAAGGCGACGAUACGUAACUGGUCUGAGGGGAUGAUCCGUCACACUGGAACUGAGACACGGUCCAGACUCCUAUGGGAGGCAGCAGUGGGGAAUAUUGGACAAUGGGCGAAAGCCUGAUCCAGCCAUGCCGCGUGUGUGAAGAAGGUCUUCGGAUUGUAAAGCUCUUUAAGUUGGGAGGCGUUACCAACAGAGUAAGCACCGGCGAACUACGUGCCAGCAGCCGCGGUAAUUC